rnacentral:rRNA from 1 species
UACGUAGGGCGCAAGCGUUAUCCGGAAUUAUUGGGCGUAAAGAGCUCGUAGGCGGCUUGUUGCGUCGACUGUGAAAACCCGCGGCUCAACCUCGAGCUGUCGGCGGAAACCAUCUGGCUAGAGUCCGGAAGAGGAGAGUGGAAUUCCUGGUGUAGCGGUGAAAUGCGCAGAUAUCAGGAAGAACACCUAUGGCGAAGGCAGCUCUCUGGGACGGUACUGACGCUGAGACGCGAAAGCGUGGGGAGCGAACAGG